CACUGCGUGUGCUGUUAAAAUCUCUGCAGACUUUUCUUGAUUAACUAUGUCUGUGAUAUAUUUUACCAUAUUUGUAGGCUUUAUUUAUACCUUAACUCCAAAAUAGGGUGUGAUUGUAUUAGUAAAAAGUGAGAUGACCCGGUUAGGCAUUGAUGAUGGCUCCCGGACUAUGUAGGCCAGGAGCCAACGAUAAGGCUGUGGUAAAACUCAAAUAUAAAUCGAUUUCUCAUUUAAAAACGUUAUCGUGCAAUGAGGUUAUUUUUUAAUAUAACUGUGUUUGUGCAAUGUUUUAAGUAACUUUUUUCUUUAAUGAGUGUUGUUUUUCUAAUAUUAUGUUAGUUUAUAGUAUAGAUUUUUGUCGUAUGUAAUAAAUAACAUAGCUGUCCGCUAUAAAACUUUAAAUCAAAGUGUUAUUUGGUGUUGUUGCACCUUAACCCCAACAGUAACGGCAGUAUGUCGGCUGCUCAUUUUCUUUUACAUAUAUUGUAACAUAGGUGCUUAUUUUACUGGACUCAGUAACACAUCACUUAACAUAUAAUUUUAUAAAGUGCGCGUUGAUUGUUUGUUAGCUAUUUAUUACAUAGCAGAGUCCGUUAAAGAUUUUUUAUGUAAUACUCUUAGUGGCCGUUCAUUAAUUACGUAAAUACGAUUUUCGUCUAUCGAAACUCUUACGUAAUUAAUUAAUGACCCCUUUCAACUCAGACGGAAGAUUGUGAAUUGGAUAGGUUACAAGAUAAUGUUUAAAUUAAAAAUAUAUUGCCUCUAUGAA